rnacentral:snoRNA from 10 species
CUGGGCAACAGAGUGAGACUCUCUCUCAAAAAAAAAGAAAGAAAACGUAUUUCUGAUGUACUAAACAAACUUUUGGAGGUAAAUUAGCAGGAUGACUAAUUUACCUUCAGACAAUU